rnacentral:rRNA from 1 species
GGGAAUUCCAUGUGUAGCGGUGAAAUGCGCAGAGAUAUGGAGGAACACCAGUGGCGAAGNCGACUUUNUGGUCUGUAACUGACGCUGAUGUGCGAAAGCGUGGGGAUCAAACAGGAUUAGAUACCCUGGUAGUCCACGCCGUAAACGAUGAGUGCUAAGUGUUAGGGGGUUUCCGCCCCUUAGUGCUGCAGCUAACGCAUUAAGCACUCCGCCUGGGGAGUACGACCGCAAGGUUGAAACUCAAAGGAAUUGACCGGGGACCCGCACAAGCGGUGGAGCAUGUGGUUUAAUUCGAAGCAACGCGAAGAACCUUACCAAAUCUUGACAUCCUCUGACCCCUCUAGAGAUAGAGUUUUCCCCUUCGGGGGACAGAGUGACAGGUGGUGCAUGGUUGUCGUCAGCUCGUGUCGUGAGAUGUUGGGUUAAGUCCCGCAACGAGCGCAACCCUUAAGCUUAGUUGCCAUCAUUAAGUUGGGCACUCUAAGUUGACUGCCGGUGACAAACCGGAGGAAGGUGGGGAUGACGUCAAAUCAUCAUGCCCCUUAUGAUUUGGGCUACACACGUGCUACAAUGGACAAUACAAAGGGUAGCGAAACCGCGAGGUCAAGCAAAUCCCAUAAAGUUGUUCUCAGUUCGGAUUGUAGUCUGCAACUCGACUAUAUGAAGCUGGAAUCGCUAGUAAUCGUAGAUCAGCAUGCUACGGUGAAUACGUUCCCGGGUCUUGUACACACCGCCCGUCACACCACGAGAGUUUGUAACACCCGAAGCCGGUGGAGUAACCAUGUGGAGCUAGCCGUCUAAUGUGGACA